rnacentral:rRNA from 1 species
UACGUAGGUCGCAAGCGUUGUCCGGAUUUACUGGGCGUAAAGAGCGCGCGUAGGCGGUCUGUCGCGUCGGCGGUGAAAGCCCUCGGCUCACCUGGGGGAGGUCCGCCGAAACGGACAGACUGGAGGGCGGUAGGGGCUGGCGGAACGCCCGGAGUAGCGGUGAAAUGCGUUGAGAUCGGGCAGAACACCAGUGGCGAAGGCGGCCGGCUGGGCCGACCCUGACGCUGAGGCGCGAAAGCCAGGGGAGCGAACGGA